CCGCUCCACGCUCCUUUCGUUCCCCACGCACGAAACCCUAGCCCCUUUCGUUCCGCAUGCUGCCAGCCCAGAGAGGCGACCUCACUCUUCCCUCCUAUGGCGCCACCGCUCCAACCCAUAGCCGGCUCCCUCUCCCCUCCCUCCCUCUCCACUCCUUCCCAUGGUGCCAGAUCUGAAGGGGUCAAGGUCAUUUCGCUCCCUGGUCCAGAGCGAGGUAGGCGGCCUCUGGUCCCUCUGCUUCCGGCGACAUGUGCCUCCAUCUUUGCCAACCAACCUUCGGUGACCAACAGGUAGCCAUCCAUGGCGGUAACAACAGCGGGCACUUGUGCACAAGGAUUCCUGCUUCCGGCUACUCACGAGCUUCCGGCAGGUGGCGCAGUGAUGUCCCGCCCUCUUUGCCACUGCCUCCCCACCAAUUGGCAGGCAAUGCUAGAGCCAAAGAGCAGCAUGGCAAGUCGAAGGUAUCUCAUACAUCUGAUAACUAGAGUCAUUUGACAACGUCUUCUCUCAGCAUGGCGAUGUUCUCGAAGUGGAAGCAAUAUGACAUCCCUUGCGAGGACAUCCAAAGGAUACAGUUUCGUCAAGUUCUCUUUCGAAAGAGAAGCAUCUCGGCAUUGGAGAAGAUGAGCGACUAGAUUCAGCUGCUUGAUGGAAAGAACAUACUGGUGCAUUAUGCAAACAGUGGAUGAUCUGCUGCUGCUAUAAAUGAGUAAGCAUUCUGAGUGUGGAAAACUGAAAACUAGAGAAACACCAGAUUGGUGAGCUGAUAUUCUAAAGGUAAAAUGGUGGGGUCAUGGAGGAACAACUAAAAGUAGUAAAAAGUGAAUGAUUUGGAAAACUGUAGUAGCAUGGUGGACAAAGGUCACAAACAGAUCUUGGCUUCAAAGUUACAUUCAAAUAUGUCACUUCCUUUGCAUUCGAGAGAGUAUUUUUCACAUUACUAGUCAUACCAUGGCUUUUACCAGGAUUUGGAGCCUUGGUUUGUUGGUGAAGUAACGAUAGAAGGAGAUAUUAAAUUGUUGUUUGUGAUAGCAAGUGGCUUGCCUACAACAGAGGACUUUGAGCAUGUCACUUAUUUGGAAAUAUUGAAGGCUCCACCUAUCCCCAUAGGAAUUGUCUGAAGAGCGUUACCCCCCAUGUCCUGAAGAGAAUUAUCCUAUCAUUUAGCAAAUGCUUUCGCUUCUAGAUUUCUUACUCCUUUCGUGUAUCUCAGGAUAUAGCAAAAGAAGUUGCAGGAAACACAAAAGAGGGGAGCGAAAGAUUUUCAAAUUGGAGGAUGUUCUCCAAUAAGAUGUAGAAGGAAGGCUUUGUUGUCAAGUACUAGAACGACACAAGGAUCUUGGUGGAAUGCUGAGAGGAUGUGUAUGUAGUUGCCCACUAUAAGGAGCCAAGGCAGAUGAUGUGCCUCUUAAAACAAAUUCUAGAAAAUAAAGCAUGGUAUUUUUGCUAUUAGGCAAUAAACCAUAAUGUUUCCUCUACUUAAUUAGUUCCACUAGUUUUAUAGGAAAGUUGGAUGGUCAUUAGUUCAUAACAGAUGAUGUAUUUAUAUGUGAAAAUUAUUGAAAUGUAUGUUAUUGUUUGCAUCUGGUUCAAUAUUUUUGGAUGA